UACGUAGGGACCGAGCGUUGUCCGGAAUCAUUGGGCGUAAAGAGCGUGUAGGCGGCCUUUUAAGUCCUGCGUGAAAUCCUGCGGCUCAACCGCAGACGGUCGUGGGAAACUGGAAGGCUAGAGUGCGGGAGAGGAGAGUGGAAUUCCCGGUGUAGCGGUGAAAUGCGUAGAUAUCGUGAGGAACACCAGAGGCGAAGGCGGUUACCUGGACAAUUACUGACGCUCAGGCACGAAAGCAUGGGGAGCAAAAGGG
rnacentral:rRNA from 1 species